UUUAACUCUUUCUUAAUCGUGUUCACACACGAAUCGUUGAAGAAAAAAUCCAACAGAAUAUUAUAUUACGUUUUGAACGGGUAACUCAACAAAGAUAGAAGAGGAAGAGAAAGAGAUGUGGUGACGUAGUGUCAUUUUUAUCUCAGAGUGACGACGCAUCAAUCAAUCUUCUGUGUGCGACAAAAUAAAAAUUCAGUGAAAUUGUGCAGGUGUUUGGAAAAUUCCUCAGACAACUCAUUCGAGUCGAGAAAUAAUGGCAUUGAAUAAUACAAAGAAAUAUUAUCGACGUGAAAUACCAUCAGAAGUGGCGAUCUAUUUGUCGUUUAUUUUCGGAACGGAAAUUGAGCGUCAAAAUCGGGAAAUUUUGAGCCGCACUGAAAUGAUAGCACGUACAAACGAUGCCGUCGAAAAUGGUCAAAUAUUCAUGGGAGUGCACAACAACAAGGCGAUGUACGACGAAUUUCGGCGGGAUGUAUUGAAAAGCAAAACCCCUGUUGUCGCACGAAAACGACGAGCACAAUGAAUUCACAUCGAUCGCAAAUGAGUGGAGCAAAUCAAUGUUCGGUUGAUCCAGUCUUUUUGUCAUUUCCACUGGAAUUGCUAAUAAAAAUGAUUUGAA